CCUACGUGCUGCAGCAGUGGGGAAUAUUGGACAAUGGGCGAAAGCCUGAUCCAGCCAUGCCGCGUGUGUGAAGAAGGCCUUCGGGUUGUAAAGCACUUUCAGUGGGGAAGAAAGCCUUGGGGCUAAUACCCUCGAGGAAGGACAUCACCCACAGAAGAAGCACCGGCUAACUCCGUGCCAGCAGCCGCGGUAAUACGGAGGGUGCGAGCGUUAAUCGGAAUUACUGGGCGUAAAGCGCGCGUAGGCGGUCUGAUAAGCCGGUUGUGAAAGCCCCGGGCUCAACCUGGGAACGGCAUCCGGAACUGUCAGGCUAGAGUGCAGGAGAGGAAGGUAGAAUUCCCGGUGUAGCGGUGAAAUGCGUAGAGAUCGGGAGGAAUACCAGUGGCGAAGGCGGUCUUCUGGACUGACACUGACGCUGAGGUGCGAAAGCGUGGGUAGCAAACAGGAUUAGAUACCCCAGUAGUC
rnacentral:rRNA from 1 species